GUCUGCUAUCGAGCUGACACUUUGUACCAGUAAUUGAUGGCUUGGCCGAGAUCUUUGUUGGUGUUCUUCUUCAUCCUUGCUUUGCCUUUGCUCCUCUUGCAAGGGAGAGUUGCAGCACAGGCAAAUACUACGACAGACCCAGCCGAGGUUUUGGCACUGAACACGAUCCUGGCGAGAUGGGGUUUAACAGCAUCAUCAGCCUGGAACUUCAGUGGCGACCCAUGCACCGGCGCCGCCAUCGAUGAGACCAACAUCCUCAGUCGCGAUUUCAACCCAGGAAUCAAAUGCGUCUGCACUUACAACAACAGCCGCACCUGCCAUAUCACUCAGCUGAAGGUUUAUGCGACCCAUACUGUGGUUGGGCCUUUCCCCCAAGAACUACAGAACCUGCCCUAUCUCUUUGAUCUGAAUUUAGCACAAAACUACCUGACAGGAACUCUGCCUGCAUUCAUAGGAAACUUCACUGACAUGCAAUACUUAAGUGUCGGCACCAAUGCCUUAUCGGGGCAAGUACCACCAGAACUUGGCAACCUUCGGAGACUCAUCUCAUUGAGUAUUGCAACAAAUAACUUCAGUGGUUCAGUACCGCCUGAGUUGGGGAAUCUCACAAACUUACAACAACUGUACUUGCGUAGUUCUGGACUUAGCGGCGAGCUACCACAAAGUCUAUCCAAUCUCAGAAGCUUGAGGACAAUGUGGGCUACAGACAAUAAUUUCAUUGGAAGAAUACCUGAUUACAUUGGAACAUGGACAAACCUAACAAGCUUGAGGCUCCAAGGGAACUCGUUUCAGGGUCCAAUUCCUUCAAGCUUUGCUAGCCAAACUCAAUUGACUGAUUUGAGAAUAGGAGAUAUCAUAAAUGGGAGCUCUUCAUUGGAUUUCAUUGCUAAUAUGACAUCUCUGAGCACCUUGGUACUAAGGAACUGCAAGAUUUCUGAUUCAAUUCCCUUGAACUUUGAGAAAUAUAAUACAUUGACACUAUUAGAUCUGAGCUUUAACAACAUAACAGGCCAAGUUCCUCAGUCCCUCUUCAAUUUGAGUUCACUUGCUUUCCUAUUUCUUGGCAACAAUAGCUUCUCUGGUUCCUUACCUCUGCAAAAGAGCAAUGAACUAAUGAACAUAGAUUUGUCAUACAAUCAAUUAUCAGGAAGAUUUCCAUCUUGGGUUAGCCAAGGAAACUUGCACUUGAAUUUGGUAGCAAACAAUUUUGUGUUCGAUGACUCCAACAGCAGCAACUUGCCUUCAGGGCUAAACUGUCUCCAGCGCACUUUUCCAUGCUAUCGUGGUUUUCCAAUCUAUUCAUCCUUUGCGAUUAACUGCGGUGGCAGUAGAGCAAUAAGUGCUUCUGAUAACACUUUGUAUGAGGUUGAUGAUGCAAAUCUCACAACUGCAUCAUACUUUGUGACUGAUACAACCAGAUGGGGGCUUAGCAGCGUUGGCCGCUUUAUGGACUCACCUGCUCCUGCUUAUAUGACAAAUAGCCAAUCUCAAUUUGAGAAUACUCUAGACUCGGAAUUGUUUCAAACUGCGAGGUUGUCUCCAUCCUCACUGAGAUACUAUGGUCUUGGUCUUGAGAAUGGAAACUACACUGUUAGGCUCCAGUUCGCGGAGACUGCUUUCCCUGACACACCUACUUUUGAAAGCGUGGGUAGAAGAGUGUUUGAUAUUUAUAUUCAGAAUGAUCUAAAAGAGAGAGACUUCGAUAUAAGAAAGUUGGCUGGUGGAAGAUCCUUAGUAGCUGUAUCUAAGGAGUUCACAGUUUCAGUAUCAGAUAAUUUCCUCGAAAUCCAUUUCUUUUGGGCUGGCAAGGGCACCUGCUGUCAACCAACACAAGGAUAUUAUGGACCAUUGAUUUCAGCUAUAAGUGUAUCUCCCGACUUCAAUCCUAGCGUAUCAAAUAGAUUGCCAAGUUCAAAGAAAAAUCGUGCAGGUUUGAUUGUGGGUGUUUCAGUUGGAGUUGCGGUUUUAGUAUUGUUGGCUAUAUGUGGAAUUAUUUUGUUGAGACAAAGAGGAAGAAGGUUAAGUGAAGAAGAAGAAGAAGAAGAAGUAUUAACAGGACUGGAUGUGAAACCUUUCACCUUUAGUUAUGUUGAACUAAGGAAUGCAACUGAAGACUUCAGUUCCUCUAACAUAUUGGGGGAAGGAGGGUUCGGCCCGGUGUUUAAGGGAGAACUUCAAGAUGGAAGAACAAUUGCUGUCAAGCAACUCGCAGCGACAUCUCAUCAAGGAAAGGCGCAGUUCUUGACCGAGAUUGCAACUAUAUCUGCAGUGCAGCAUCGAAAUCUUAUAAAGUUGUAUGGCUGCUGUGUUGAGGAAGACAAGAGGAUUCUGGUUUAUGAGUACUCAGAGAACAAGAGUCUAGACCAAGCAAUUUUCGGGAAAAGCAGUUUGCAUCUUGAUUGGCCAAAACGCUUUGAUAUAUUGCUUGGUAUAGCAAGAGGUCUAGCCUACCUUCACGAGGAGUCAAGAGUGCGUAUCGUGCAUAGAGAUGUGAAGGCUAGUAAUAUCCUACUUGAUGCUGAUCUCAACCCGAAAAUCUCAGACUUUGGUUUGGCCAAGCUCUAUGAUGACAAGAUGACUCACAUUAACACAAGGGUUGCUGGUACAAUUGGAUAUCUAGCACCAGAGUAUGCUAUGAGAGGGCAUCUAACUGAGAAAGCUGAUGUCUUUGCGUACGGAGUGCUGGCUUUGGAGAUACUCAGCGGAAGGCCUAACUCUGACCCAACCCUUGAGAAGGACAAGGUUUAUCUUCUAGGAUGGGCUUGGAAUCUACAUGAUGAUAAGCGGGAACUAGACAUUGCUGAUCCAGAGCUACCAACAUUCAAUGAGAUAGAGCUCCAUCGGGUCAUCGGAAUAGCUCUUCUUUGCACCCUAGCGUCGCCUUUGCAUCGGCCACCAAUGUCAAGGGUUGUGGCCAUGCUAGUAGGGGAUACUGAAGUAGUAGAUGUCACCUCGAGGCCCAGUUACUUGACUGAUUGGCAAUUCAUGGAUGGAACCAGCAGCUUCACUGCCAACUACUUUGGUCCUUCAACCCAAAGAUCCGAAAACAGUGAAGUUAGUUUCACAUCUAAUGCAAAUACACCGGUUGACACCGAAAGCCAGCCUUUAACCCCACAAUUGUCUACAAACACUGGCAUUUAGGAGGGAAGAUGAUUCUUCGUUUCCGGGGAAGUAUAUGUACUGUCUAAGAGUUUGGUAAGAAAGCAGAGAAUCUAAGAUCUUUAGGAAACCAAUUGGGCAAGUAUCUAAAGAAAAUGAGCUUCUAGAGCAAUUGCUAUAAUAACCCAGGCAACUGAAAUCAUAAGCAUGUUUCCCCUUGAGAAACAACAGUGCAAGUUCAUCAAAUUAAGCAAUCAUAUUGAGUUUCAAAGUUGUAAUGCAUAAUUCCAUUCCAAAUGCACCAUACCAUUACUGCAACCUGUACUAUGCAAUAAAAUGAUGUAAUGCAGAAGUAGAGUAUUGCUUUGUGUUUUUGCACUAGAGAGACUGGGUGUUGCUUAUUAUGUUUAAGAAUUUUUGU